CGAGCGGCAGCGCGGGGCAACCUGGCGGCGAGCGGCGAACGGGUGAGUAACAUAUCGGAACGUACCCUAUCGUGGGGGAUAACGAAUCGAAAGAUUCGCUAAUACCGCAUACGACCUGAGGGUGAAAGCGGGGGAUCGCAAGACCUCGCGCGACAGGAGCGGCCGAUAUCGGAUUAGCUAGUUGGUGAGGUAAAGGCUCACCAAGGCGACGAUCCGUAGCUGGUCUGAGAGGACGACCAGCCACACUGGGACUGAGACACGGCCCAGACUCCUACGGGAGGCAGCAGUGGGGAAUUUUGGACAAUGGGGGAAACCCUGAUCCAGCCAUUCCGCGUGAGUGAAGAAGGCCUUCGGGUUGUAAAGCUCUUUCGGCAGGAACGAAAAGGUGCGGGCUAAUACCCUGUAUCAAUGACGGUACCUGAAGAAAAAGCACCGGCUAACUACGUGCCAGCAGCCGCGGUAAUACGUAGGGUGCGAGCGUUAAUCGGAAUUACUGGGCGUAAAGCGUGCGCAGGCGGUUUUGUAAGACAGAUGUGAAGUCCCCGGGCUUAACCUGGGAACUGCGUUUGUGACUGCAAGACUUGAGUGCGGCAGAGGGGGGUGGAAUUCCACGUGUAGCAAAAUGCGUAGAGAUGUGGAGGAACACCGGUGGCGAAGGCAGCCCCCUGGGUCGACACUGACGCUCAUGCACGAAAGCGUGGGUAGCAAACAGGAUUAGAUACCCUGGUAGUCCACGCCCUAAACGAUGCCAACUAGGUGUUGGGGAAGGAGACUUCCUUAGUACCGUAGCUAACGCGUGAAGUUGGCCGCCUGGGGAGUACGGUCGCAAGAUUAAAACUCAAAGGAAUUGACGGGGACCCGCACAAGCGGUGGAUGAUGUGGAUUAAUUCGAUGCAACGCGAAAAACCUUACCUACCCUUGACAUGCCAGGAAUCCCGGAGAGAUUUGGGAGUGCUCGAAAGAGAGCCUGGACACAGGUGCUGCAUGGCUGUCGUCAGCUCGUGUCGUGAGAUGUUGGGUUAAGUCCCGCAACGAGCGCAACCCUUGUCAUUAGUUGCCAUCAUUUAGUUGGGCACUCUAAUGAGACUGCCUGUGACAAACCGGAGGAAGGUGGGGAUGACGUCAAGUCCUCAUGGCCCUUAUGGGUAGGGCUUCACACGUCAUACAAUGGUCGGUACAGAGGGUUGCCAAGCCGCGAGGUGGAGCCAAUCCCAGAAAGCCGAUCGUAGUCCGGAUCGGAGUCUGCAACUCGACUCCGUGAAGUCGGAAUCGCUAGUAAUCGUGGAUCAGCAUGUCACGGUGAAUACGUUCCCGGGUCUUGUACACACCGCCCGUCACACCAUGAGAGUGGGUUUCACCAGAAGUAGGUAGCCUAACCGCAAGGAGGGCGCUUACCACGGUGGGAUUCAUGACUGGGGUGAAGUCGG
rnacentral:rRNA from 1 species